rnacentral:rRNA from 1 species
UACGAAGGGGGCUAGCGUUUGCUCGGAAUUACUGGGCGUAAAGGGCGCGUAGGCGGACAGUUAAGUCAGAGGUGAAAGCCCAGGGCUCAACCCUGGAAUUUGCCUUUGAUACUGGCUGUCUUGAGUGCGGGAGAGGUGUGUGGAACUCCGAGUGUAGAGGUGAAAUUCGUAGAUAUUCGGAAGAACACCAGUGGCGAAGGCGGCUCACUGGACCGGCAUUGACGCUGAGGUGCGAAAGCGUGGGGAGCAAACAGG